rnacentral:rRNA from 1 species
AAUCCUGGCUCAGGAUGAACGCUAGCUACAGGCUUAACACAUGCAAGUCGAGGGGCAGCAUGGACCCAGCUUUGCUGGGUUUGAUGGCGACCGGCGCACGGGUGAGUAACGCGUAUCCAACCUGCCCUUUACUCCGGGAUAGUCUCCUGAAAGGGAGUUUAAUACCGGAUGUGUUUGUCUUUCCGCAUGGGAGCGACAAAUAAAGAUUAAUUGGUAAAGGAUGGGGAUGCGUCCCAUUAGCUUGUUGGCGGGUAACGG